rnacentral:rRNA from 1 species
GACGAACGCUGGCGGCGCGCCUAACACAUGCAAGUCGAACGAGCGAGAGAGAGCUUGCUUUCUCGAGCGAGUGGCGAACGGGUGAGUAACGCGUGAGGAACCUGCCUCAAAGAGGGGGACAACAGUUGGAAACGACUGCUAAUACCGCAUAAGCGCACAGGGCCGCAUGGCCCGGUGUGAAAAACUCCGGUGGUAUAAGAUGGACCCGCGUCUGAUUAGCUGGUUGGUGGGGUAACGGCCCACCAAGGCGACGAUCAGUAGCCGGCCUGAGAGGGUGAACGGCCACAUUGGGACUGAGACACGGCCCAG